rnacentral:rRNA from 1 species
CACGGAGUUAGCCGAUCCUUAUUCUUACAGUACCAUCAAUAUACCACACGUGGUACUUUUCUUCCUGUACAAAAGCAGUUUACAAUCCAUAGGACCGUCAUCCUGCACGCGGCAUGGCUGGUUCAGAGUUGCCUCCAUUGACCAAUAUUCCUCACUGCUGCCUCCCGUAGGAGUCUGGUCCGUGUCUCAGUACCAGUGUGGGGGAUCUCCCUCUCAGGACCCCUACCCAUCAUCGUCUUGGUAAGCCGUUACCUUACCAACUAACUAAUGGGACGCAUGCUCAUCUUUUACCAAUAAAUCUUUAAUUACAAAUCGAUGCCAAUUCGUAAUACCAUAAGGUAUUAAUCCAAAUUUCUCUGGGCUAUCCCUUAGUAAAGGUAGAUUGCAUACGCGUUACGCACCCGUGCGCCGGUCUCAACAUCCGAAGAUGCCUACCCUCGACUUGCAUGUGUUAGGCCUGCCGCUAGCGUUCAUCCUGAGCCAGGAUCAAACUCU